rnacentral:rRNA from 1 species
GACGAACGCUGGCGGCGUGCUUAACACAUGCAAGUCGAACGGAAAGGCCCUGCUUUUGUGGGGUGCUCGAGUGGCGAACGGGUGAGUAACACGUGAGUAACCUGCCCUUGACUUUGGGAUAACUUCAGGAAACUGGGGCUAAUACCGGAUAGGAGCUCCUGCUGCAUGGUGGGGGUUGGAAAGUUUCGGCGGUUGGGGAUGGACUCGCGGCUUAUCAGCUUGUUGGUGGGGUAGUGGCUUACCAAGGCUUUGACGGGUAGCCGGCCUGGGAGGGUGACCGGCCACCUUGGGACUGCGAGACGGCGCAGACUCGUACGGGAGGCAGCAGUGGGGAAUAUGACACAGUGGGCGGGCGCCUGAUGCAGCAGCGCCGGGUGCGGGAUGACGGCCUGCGGGUUGUAAACCGCUUUCGCCUGUGACGAAGCGGGAGUGACGGUAAUGGGUAAAGAAGCACCGGCUAACUACGUG